AUGACCUUGAUGAAAUCCGCCUU
rnacentral:siRNA from 1 species